rnacentral:tRNA from 1 species
UCCAGGAUGGCCGAGUGGUUAUGGCAUCAGACUCAAAAUUUGAUUCCGGUUGAAGUCGGAGCGCAGGUUCGAAUCCUGCUCCUGGAC